CCACUGUGCUUAAUGUUUUUCUUCUUCUUUCUGUCCCUUGGCAGUUCCUUGAAGGCUUUGAUAAUCAGGGCAGAAGAUGGGAAGAGCAGAC